rnacentral:rRNA from 1 species
UACGGAGGGGGCAAGCGUUAUUCGGAAUCAUUGGGCGUAAAGGGCGCGUAGGCGGCCUGGCAAGUCAAAGGUGAAAUCCCUCGGCCCAACCGAGGAACUGCCUUUGAAACUGCAAGGCUCGAGGCCGGGAGAGGGUAGCGGAAUUCCCAGUGUAGCGGUGAAAUGCGUAGAUAUUGGGAGGAACACCAGUGGCGAAGGCGGCUACCUGGACCGGUUCUGACGCUGAUGCGCGAAAGCGUGGGGAGCAAACAGG